CCUGCAUGAAGUCGGAAUUGCUAGUAAUCGCGGAUCAGCAUGCCGCGGUGAAUACGUUCCCGGGCCUUGUACACACCGCCCGUCACACCAUGGGAGCCGGUAAUACCCGAAGUCAGUAGUCCAACCACGUGAGGACGCUGCCGAAGGUAGGAUUGGCGACUGGGGUGAAGUCGUAACAAGGUACC
rnacentral:rRNA from 1 species